rnacentral:rRNA from 1 species
AUGAACUGUGAUGGUGCAAUCUCCACUCUUGGGGAGAAGGGAGCAGCGGCUACUGUGUGUCGAGACAAGUCAGGAAAGUUCCUAAGAGCAUCAGCAGUGGUAUUUGACAGCUUGAUCGACCCGGCGAGCUUGGAGGCGCAAGCAUGUAGCGAGUCUCUCGCCCUUGCACAGGACCUGAAUUUGCAGGAUCUCGUGAUCGCUUCGGAUUGCUUAGAGGUGAUUUCAAAUAUCAAUAGAGAAGCCUCGCCAGUGUAUGCGCCUAUCCUGCAUGAAAUCUAUUGCAGUACAAACUUUUUUUCCUCUGUUAUUUUUCGUUUUAAAAGUAGGGAGAAUAAUUUCGAGGCCCACUCGAUAGCAAAAGGAGCCGCGUCUCUGCCGAUGGACCGCCAUGUGUGGCUAGGGGUUCUACCAGAUAUUUCUUGUAUUCCGGACAUAAAUGAAUACCCUAGUUACCCUAAAAAAAGGAGCUGCCCUCUAAUGAACGAUUCAUUCGCUCUUGCAUGGGUCCUCCACCAAACGUUUCAGGUGAUUUGCUCGUUGUUCCAAAAUCACUAA